AUUGAACGCUGGCGGCAGGCCUAACACAUGCAAGUCGAGCGGAUGAAGGGAGCUUGCUCCUGGAUUCAGCGGCGGACGGGUGAGUAAUGCCUAGGAAUCUGCCUGGUAGUGGGGGAUAACGUCCGGAAACGGGCGCUAAUACCGCAUACGUCCUGAGGGAGCAAGUGGGGGAUCUUCGGACCUCACGCUAUCAGAUGAGCCUAGGUCGGAUUAGCUAGUUGGUGGGGUAAAGGCCUACCAAGGCGACGAUCCGUAACUGGUCUGAGAGGAUGAUCAGUCACACUGGAACUGAGACACGGUCCAGACUCCUACGGGAGGCAGCAGUGGGGAAUAUUGGACAAUGGGCGAAAGCCUGAUACAGCCAUGCCGCGUGUGUGAAGAAGGUCUUCGGAUUGUAAAGCACUUUAAGUUGGGAGGAAGGGCAGUAAGUUAAUACCUUGCUGUUUUGACGUUACCAACAGAAUAAGCACCGGCUAACUUCGUG
rnacentral:rRNA from 1 species